CCUCACCACUACACAGACCAUCCUUCCCUGAUUCAUUUCUUUUCCUUUUGCGGAUUAUCUUUGUGAGCUGAUUUGGUCACUCACAGCCACUACCCCAGUUGAUCCAUGGCUGCAGUCCUUGCCUUUGACACCUCUGACCAGCAAGAUAUUACCAGGAGGAAAGGGAGUGGUUGGUUCUCUCUUCCUAGCUCUAACGGGCACCAUGAGUUCAUAUGAACACAUCAGUACCGUACGAGCUUGUUUUUCCUAAGAUGGAAUCAAGUCACUUCAUGUUUAACUUGCUCUGUGAAAGGCUGCACAGCAAGUGAACGUACCCUGUCCCAAGAGGUUGCGCUGCCUCAUCCGCAACAAGCUGUGACCCAAUAACCAGGAGAAAUGAUGGAAGCUUAUUGAUCAGACAUCUCUAGCCUUUUCAUUAGGUAAUUGGAUAUCUACACUCUUUCUGAAAGCUGUUGAGAGAACAAAGAUCAUAGUCUCCUACUUAGAAUAGAAGAUACGUAGAUAUUAACUUUCCUAUUGUAAUUAUGUUUCCUACUGUAAUUAUGUUUCCUACUUAGAAUAGGAGAUCUGCAGAAUUCUUCUUUCCUACUGUAAAGCAAAAGCCUUGUAUAAAUAUGUGAUACAGUAUCAAUAAUAAAUCGUGGCAUUGAAUUCAA